rnacentral:rRNA from 1 species
GACAGAGGAUGCAAGCGUUAUCCGGAAUGAUUGGGCGUAAAGCGUCUGUAGGUGGCUUUUUAAGUCCGCCGUCAAAUCCCAGGGCUCAACCCUGGACAGGCGGUGGAAACUACCAAGCUGGAGUACGGUAGGGGCAGAGGGAAUUUCCGGUGUAGCGGUGAAAUGCGUAGAUAUCGGAAGGAACACCUGUGGCGAAAGCGGCUCACUGGACCACAACUGACGCUGAUGCACGAAAGCUAGGGGAGCAAACAGG